rnacentral:rRNA from 1 species
CCUACGGGAGGCAGCAGUGAGGAAUAUUGGUCAAUGGCCGUAAGGCUGAACCAGCCAAGUCGCGUGAAGGAAGAAGGAUCUAUGGUUUUUAAACUUCUUUUAUAGGGGAAUAAAGGUAUCCACGUGUGGAUAUUUGCAUGUACGCUAUGAAUAAGCAUCGGCUAACUCCGUGCCAGCAGCCGCGGUAAUACGGCGGAUGCGAGCGUUAUCCGGAUUUAUUGGGUUUAAAGGGUGCGUAGGUUGUUUUUUAAGUCAGCGGUGAAAGUUUGUGGCUCAACCAUCACAUUGCCGUUGAAACUGGAAGACUAGAGUGUGUUUUGGGUAAGCGGAAUGCGUGGUGUAGCGGUGAAAUGCAUAGAUAUCACGCAGAACUCCGAUUGCGAAGGCAGCUUACUAAGCCAUAACUGACACUGAAGCACGAAAGCGUGGGGAUCAAACAGGAUUAGAUACCCCAGUAGUC